ACAGACACUAAAGGCAAAACACAGCGGAAGAAGAAAUGAGACAAAAGAGGUAGUGAUGGUGGGAGGAGGCCGUCUUCAGAUGGACGUGGCUAUUAAUGAUGCUUUCCUAUAGUUUCGUUUCUACAGAACAGAAACUACACACUGUGUAGUCAAUCCCCACAAACAGUGAACACAGCAACUGCAGCACUGCUCCCGUCAGAACCUCCACUAACUGGUCCAGACUGAGAAUCAACCAUCUUGACUAAUAGACACCCAGAGACAUUCAAGAUGGCUGCUCGUCCUUUUGACUAUACUGGGCGUGUCUCAACGUAUCAGAAGAAAAAAUUUAAAAAAGAAACUCUGCAUUCACAUCCAGAUGAACUUUUUUAUGAUGUAAAACAAACUACUACUGCUACUACUACAACAACAACAAAAAGCAACUUGAUUCUCUUUACUGAACAUAAAGAGAGCUGGAGACAGGCAAUAGUUGCAGAAUACCCUGACCACGAGGAAGUCGAACUACCCAUGGUCAAACUUGGGCUCAAAAGCAAAGGAACUGUUUGCAUAUACCACAAUGGGAUGAUUGUCAUUCAUGGUUCAAAACAAAAACUUGAUAAUUUUGAGGUUGAUUUCAGAAGAUUGGAUGAGCACAUGAGACAACUGAGAGUGGAGGAAUAAUGACCCUGGUGCCUGAUUCUCUAGGGAGGAAUGAUAUUUAAAUUAAAGAUGAUAUUUAAAAAAGAAAAAAGUUAAAUAUUUUAAAGUUUUGAUGAAAAGAAACCAGAUAAUAAGGCUCUUUAUGCAUAAAAAGCAUAACUGACUUACAGUAAGGCUUCCUAUCAUUUUAACGGUUUAAAAAAAAAAAAAAUCUUAGUGAUUACUGUAUUGUUAUUUGAAAACAAAUCAUCGUUUUUUGGCAUUCCUCUCCUAUUCGUUUUAGCUACAGAUAACAUUCAAAUAUCAAACUGUUCAGCUACAUAAAGAGAUGUGUGGAUCUACUCUAUUUUCCCCUUUUAUUUAGACAUAUUCCGCUAUAUAUGUAUGUUUCAGCAUUCAGCAUUAUAUGCAGAUCUUUAGCGCAAUACAUUAUGGGUACUGCACCAUAAGAGAAACUGGUAUAAGGAGUGACCCAUGAUUGAUAAAAUGAUUUUGCAUUAAAAUUUAUGACAUUUACAUCAGAGCCGUACCUUUCAAACUGUUGCAACUUUCAGCUUUUUGUUAAAUUAAUAAUAUCUUAAAUAUGAUAAUACUAUUAAGCUUUUAUACAAAAUUAAUUUGCAUAUUUUGUACUUUUUCUCAUAUAGCCAUAUUCAGUUGUUCCCUUGUAUUAACCACUUUUAGCUGUUGUUUAAAAUGUUUAAGCUUCUCUUGGGGAAUAAAUUCAAUAUCAUAGCAUUCAGCAUUUUAUGCAAACUUACUGUGUAAUUGUGGGCACCCUAACAGAAACUGAUGUAAGAAGGAGUAAUGUUUGCAAUGUCCAAUAAAAAAGUUUCUGCAUUUGAAUAUUUACCUUUGCA